AACAAAAUUAAAAUUGUUCCAAAUGAUUUUUUUGACAAAUGUUUGGCAACCACUGAUUGUAAUAAAAAAUCAAAUGAUUAUUGCAUUUCCAUGACAACCUUAAUAAUUUUUAACAUUUUUUAGGAGAAUGCAUUAAAUGGAGGUUCACUGCACUUCUUUUUAUUUAUAUAGCCAACUGAUUAUAGCAAGGCUUCUGACUGCAUUUAUCAAGAAAGCCUAUGGAAUGGGAAUAAGAACUGUGGAAAUCUCAGAACAUAUGAUUUUUUUCCUUAGAAGUUUAUAUAAACAAGAGACUACAAUCAGAGAAUGGUUUAACAUUGACAAAGGCAUUGAGACAAGAAUAUAUCCUUUUCUCAUACUUUUUUUAAUAUGUAUAGUGAGAACAUCAUGAAAAUGGCAGAAACAGAAGAGUAAAAAUAUGAUUCUCUCCAUACGUAUUCAGGACUGCUUUAAUUGUCUAAUUUAAAUUUUUAUUUUUAAAGCAGUAAGAUAAAGCCUGAUGAGACAGCAGAAGCUGUCGAAAACGUUAGACCAAAAUAAAAAGUUUUUUCUGUCAACUGCUAGUAGUGUUGUUUUAUUGAACUUAGUAUGAUUCUCUC
rnacentral:lncRNA from 1 species